GCCUUUCGGAGCUGUGCGGCAUUCUGAGCAGUUCUGUGGCAAAGGAGGAUGAAGGCUUACGAGGUGCUAGAAUAGAAGACCAGAAAAUGAAAUGGUGGAGUUUGAGGCUGGAUAGACAGUUUGAAAGGUACAAAUAAUGGUUUGAAUAAAGAAAGGUAUUAAUGGGUCACCUCAAGUGAAGGCACUGCAAACACAAUGAUUGGUCAUUCUGAAUUUCCGGUCCUUCAUUCUGAAUUUCAAAGGCUCCUGUGACAAGUGGACAUGCAGUGACUGCACCUUUGUUUCUGAGGUGCCUGGAUGGAGGCUCAAAUAGAAGAUGGUGUCAGAUAUAUUGUGUUAAAAUUUUACCAUUAAAGUGUAUUAUAACAUGAA
rnacentral:lncRNA from 1 species